UUCCUCGAAGUUUAUUUCUAUAAUUCUCUAUAAAAAAGUGUAACUUCAGAGAACCGUUAUUGACGACCAACGUAACGAAGGAAAUUAAAGUCGUUCCUGGAUGGAUAGUUCUUGCAAUGAGCGAUAAGAGCGCCCGCGGUUUGAUACUCCACCAAGAUUAUAUAAAGACGAUAAGACCGGAAGUUUGUUGACUUAAAUAUAACCGCUUUUGUACUAAUUUAAUGACGUCACAAAUACGCGAACAGAGAACUGUCUUGGCAAUAGUCACACCAAAUAUGGCAGUUUUGCUCGGCACGUGUGAGGCAAAGUUCACGUGCCCAAAUGAAUUCUGCAACGUGGUGCUUUUUGCAGCAGCCUGAUUUCCAGUCACUCGUUAUAUCACAGCUUUCUUCCGUGUCAAGAAUA